GUUCAGAACACAGCCAGCCACUAAGCCCCGCCUUCCUUGUGUGACAGGUAAAACACGGAACCAACAACCUGGAAAGCCAAGGCACACAUUUCUGGAAACACGUUCUCUAGUGUGUGAGCAGGACCAAGAGAUCUGCCGGGCAAGCUGAAGUGUAUUUUUAAACUCUAUACAACACAGAGAUGCUACCUGAUGACUCUGCCUAAGCCACGGUAUAAUGCCUUUGUCUCGGCACGGUCAGAAUUGGUUGUGGAACCUCGAGGCAACGGAGAUGGUGGGACUAUGACAGUGAUGGUGGGGGCCCUGUGUGCUGAGUACUCAUGCGCUCGUGCUAGGGGACAUGACUCAUCAGACUGUUCCACAGUGAGUGUGACCUCAGGAGGUACUCACAGAGGCCAGAGCCCCUGGCCCAUCCUCCAUGGUGCUGGGGACCAAGAAGCCACAGUCUCCUGGACAACCAGAUGAUCGCCCUGAAAAUGCCCUCAAUUGUGGAAUCUUUUGUGGAGGUUUGUCUAGCGUCUUCUAGUGUAGGGGUUCCCCUGCUUACUAAAGAAGACACUUGAACUGAAGGCACUAAGCCAAAUGAAAAAAAAAUCUGUUACUAAAAUUCAAGGUCAUUUUAUCUUUCUUUAAAAAAAAAUACAAACCUAUAUCUACUCAUUAAA